rnacentral:rRNA from 1 species
UAGGGAAUCUUCCACAAUGGACGCAAGUCUGAUGGAGCAACGCCGCGUGAGUGAAGAAGGUUUUCGGAUCGUAAAGCUCUGUUGUUGGUGAAGAAGGAUAGAGGCAGUAACUGGUCUUUAUUUGACGGUAAUCAACCAGAAAGUCACGGCUAACUACGUGCCAGCAGCCGCGGUAAUACGUAGGUGGCAAGCGUUGUCUGGAUUUAUUGGGCGUAAAGCGAGCGCAGGCGGAAUGAUAAGUCUGAUGUGAAAGCCCACGGCUCAACCGUGGAACUGCAUCGGAAACUGUCAUUCUUGAGUGCAGAAGAGGAGAGUGGAAUUCCAUGUGUAGCGGUGGAAUGCGUAGAUAUAUGGAAGAACACCAGUGGCGAAGGCGGCUCUCUGGUCUGCAACUGACGCUGAGGCUCGAAAGCAUGGGUAGCGAACAGG